GCGCCCAUAGCUCAAUGGAUAGAGUAUAAGCUUGCGGAGCUUAGGAUCGUGGUUCGAUUCCACGUGGGCGCA
rnacentral:tRNA from 3 species